GCGAACUGCGGGCAGGGAGCGGGGGUAAUACGGAGGGGGCAAGGGUGGUCCGGAGUUAUUGGGCGUAAAGGGCGGGGAGGCGGCCAUGCAGGUCCGCGGUGAAAACGCGAGGCUCAACCUCGGGACGUCGGUGGAAACCGUAUGGCUAGAGUCCGGAAGAGGAGAGUGGAAUUCCCGGUGUAGCGGUGAAAUGCGCAGAUAUCGGGAAGAACACCCGUGGCGAAGGCGGCUCUCUGGGACGGUACUGACGCUGAGACGCGAAAGCGUGGGGAGCGAACAGGAUUAGAUACCCCUGUAGUC
rnacentral:rRNA from 1 species